CGGCCUCUAGUCACUUCUCUCUUAUCCCUCUAUGGCCGCUCUUCACCGCUUCAAAAGGGGUGAAGCCUCUUACUUCUACCUCCAGGAGCCACGUUACCGCGUCUUCUCUAUGGGAUCACCUAGGAGAGAAUACCUUGGAGUCAUUGUCAUAAAAUCAAGCAAUUCUCAAAAUGCUGCCCUGGAUGCCCCCAAAUGAUAGCAACAGAAUCUUCAUGAUGCUGAGUGUGAUCCUCAGGAGGGAUCGCGGAUGGAUUCUGAACUGAUGAAGCUGGAAAUGCCUGCAAAUUCAUCCCCGGCUGGAACAGUCCCCCAGAUUGGGUAGGAAUUACUACAGACUGUUGUGGUGUUCCUGAAAUUCCUACCCACUGUACCGGAUACCCUGGCCCCCCCACAGCAUUAUAUUGACAAACAUGGGGUAUUCCAUAUGAUGAUAAUGGCCCAGGAAAUGAAGGGCGUGAGAGUCCUUGUGGCAAGGAGGCUGGGACAGCUCCACGGAUUUGGGACAGAGAAGAAAUCCAUGUUGAUGUGUAGCCCAUAGUAGAUGGAGUAUUCUAACAAAAAAUAAAAACAAAAGAUCAGUUUAUUUGGUA